UCAUUCAUUAUGUGCUUCCUGGUAGAUUACUUGCAGGAGCGUGCUAAAGGCAGCGUAUUGUACGGUUUCAGGGGAGGUCCAGCUGGAAUCAUGAAGGGCAAGUAUGUGGAACUUACACCAGAAUAUAUUUACCCGUACAGAAACUAGGGUGGUUUUGAUAUGAUAUGUAGUGGAAGAGAUAAGAUUGAAACUCCAGAGCAGUUUCAACAAGCUGCAGAUACUGCCGCGAAGCUUGAUUUGGAUGGACUUCUUGUUAUUGGUGGGGAUGACUCGAACAGAAAUGCCUGCCUCCUUGCUGAGAAUUUCAGGUAUAUAACUAAUUUUUUUCUUUCUAGAAAAAUCUUGCUUGGCAGAUGGAACUGUUGCCUGUAUUUGUCUUCAUAUGUCAUUCAUGUAAUCCAUGGAUCCAUCUAUUUUUUAGGUGCUUGUAUCAGUGUAUGGGACCCAUCCAAAUAGAAUUUAGGGAUUCUUUAUCUAACAGUUCGACAGGGUUACAGGAGUCUUGCCUUUAACACUGUUUCGUUGGUUUGUUUAACACAGUUUGGUUUUUUUUUCUUUUGUUCAACCGGGGGAAAGAAUUUGAAAACUCAGGUGAUUGGGUGUCCAAAAACCAUUGAUGGUGACUUGAAAUGCAAAGAAGUCCCAAUAAGUUUUGGGUUUGAUACUGCUUGCAAGAUAUAUGCAGAAAUGAUUGGAAAUGUCAUGAUAGAUGCCAGAUCAACUGGAAAAUAUUAUCACUGUA